rnacentral:misc_RNA from 1 species
GAUGAAGAACGUAGCGAAAUGCGAUACUUGGUGUGAAUUGCAGAAUCCCGUGAACCAUCGAGUCUUUGAACGCAAGUUGCGCCCGAAGCCAUUAGGCCGAGGGCACGCCUGCCUGGGCGUCACACGUCGUUGCCCCCCCAUCUACUCCUUCGGGAUUGUGGGGGGCGGAUGAUGGCCUCCCGUGCGCCUCGUCGCGCGGUUGGCAUAAAUGCCAAGUCCUCGGCGACACACGCCACGACAAUCGGUGGUUGCGAAACCUCGGUUGCCCGUCGUGUGCGGUCGUCGCGCAUCGAGGGCUCGAAAAAAUUGCCGGGCUCCGGCUCGGCUUUCAACGCGACCCCAGGUCAGGCGGGGUUACCCGCUGAAUUUAAGCAUAUCAAUAAGCGGAGGA